rnacentral:antisense_RNA from 1 species
UCUAGAGUAUACCACCUCUUUACCAAUUUUGUCCAGCCCAUCUUGGUACGCCAGGAUGGCAGCAGUGACCUGCUCCUUUACAUCCCCGGGAAGAACCUGACCUGCAAUGGCAGAGAUGUUCAGGUUGACCUGGACCUCAAUCUCUUUGGCUCUGCGGAAUCCAAUGGAGUGAACCUUGCCCUG